rnacentral:rRNA from 1 species
UCAAGCGCAAAAGGGCAUUUAGUGGAUGCCUUGGCAUCAAGAGACGAUGAAGGACGCGGCAGGCUGCGAAAAGUUAAGGGGAGUUGUCAACACACUUUGAUCCUUAAAUAUCCGAAUGGGGAAACCCAACUCUUAUGAGUUACUCAUUAGUGAAUACAUAGCUAAUGAGAGUUAACCUAGUGAAUUGAAAUAUCUUAGUAGCUAGAGGAAAAGAAAUCUAUUCCGUUAGUAGUGACGAGCGAACGCGGAUCAGGCCAACAGUAAAAUUAUAAUAACUAGAAUUACCUGGAAAGUUAAACCAUAGUGGGUGAUAGUCCCGUAUAGGUAAAAAUUAAUUUUAUUUUCGAGUAGGGCGGAACACGUGAAAUUUUGUCUGAAUAUGGGGAGACCACUUCCCAAGCCUAAAUACUCCUUGAUGACCGAUAGUGAACUAGUACCGUGAGGGAAAGGUGAAAAGCACCCCGAUAGGGGGAAUGAAAUAGUAUCUGAAACCGAAUGCCUACAAGCAGUCAGAGCUUCCUUGAGAAGUGAUGGCAUACCUUUUGUAUAAUGGGUCAGCGACUUAGUCUGUGCAGCAAGCUUAAGCCAUUAGGUGUAGGCGAAGGGAAACCAAGUCUUAAUAGGGCGUUAGUUGUACGGAUUAGACUCGAAGCGGGAUGAGCUUAAUAUGAGCAGGUUGAAGAUGCAGUAACAUGCAUCGGAGGACCGAACCAGGAAACGUUGAAAUGUUUUUGGAUGACUUGUGUUAAGGGGUGAAAGGCCAACCAAAUUCCGCUAUAGCUAGUUCUCCGCGAAAACUAUUUAGUAGUGCGUUGUGUGAAUGAUUUCGGGGUAAAGCACUGGAUGGGCUAGGGGGAGCGAUUCCUACCAAACCUAACCAAACUCUGAAUACCGAUAUUCUAUACACAGCAGACAGACUAUAGGUGCUAAGGUCUAUAGUCGAGAGGGAAACAGCCCAGAUCACCAGUUAAGGCCCCCAAAUAAUGGCUAAGUGGGAAAGUAUGUAGAAAGACCAAGACAGGCAGGAGGUUGGCUUAGAAGCAGCCAUCCUUUAAAGAUAGCGUAACAGCUCACUGUUCUAAUUAAGUUUUUCCGCGACGAAGAUGUAACGGGGCUAAAGCCAUUUGCCGAAACUGUGACUUUGUAAUUAUUGCGAUACUUACAAGGGGUAGCGGAGCGUUCUGUAAGCCGUCGAAGGUGUUUUGAAAAAAAUGUUGGAGGUAUCAGAAGUGCGAAUGCUGACAUGAGUAGCGAUAAAGAGUGUGAGAGACACUCUCGCCGAAAUCCUAAGGUUUCCUGCGUAAAGUUAAUCUGCGCAGGGUUAGUCGACCCCUAAGGCGAGGCAGAAAUGCGUAGUCGAUGGGAAACAGGUUAAUAUUCCUGUACCUUCUGAGAGUUGACGGAUUAUGUAAAUUGUAUUUUCUUAUUGGAUUGAAAAUGCAGUGAAGUAGUUCCUGGAAAUAGCCUCAGAUUAUAGAUCGUACCUAAACCGACACAGGUAGGAAGGUAGAGUAUACCAAGGCGCUUGAGAGAAUGAUGUUGAAGGAACUCGGCAAAAUGCUCUUGUAACUUCGGAAUAAGAGAGACCAUUUUUUAGGCAACUAAAUAAUGGUGGCACAGAAUAGGGAGAAGCGACUGUUUAUCAAAAACACAGGUCUCUGCUAAGUCGUAAGACGAUGUAUAGGGACUGACGCCUGCCCGGUGCCGGAAGGUUAAAUGGUGGAGUGCAAGCUCUAAAAUGAAGCCCCGGUGAACGGCGGCCGUAACUAUAACGGUCCUAAGGUAGCGAAAUUCCUUGUCAGGUAAGUUCUGACCCGCA